AUGAACGCUGGCGGCGUGCCUUAGGCAUGCAAGUCGAACGGAUUUAGUAGCAAUACUAAGUCAGUGGCAGACGGGUGAGUAACGCGUAGGAAUCUACCCCUGGGUGGACCAUAGCCGGCCGAAAGGUCGGGUAAUAGUCCAUGGUCUCGCAAGAGUAAAGCACUUACGGUGCGCCGAGGGAGGAGCCUGCGUCCUAUCAGCUAGUUGGCGGGGUAAAUGCCCACCAAGGCGAUGACGGGUAGCUGGACUGAGAGGUCGAUCAGCCACAACUGCGCUGAGACACGGCAGUACAUCUACGGAUGGCAGCAACCAGGAAUAUUCGGCAAUGGGCGAAGCCUGACCGAGCGACGCCGCGUGGAGGAAGACGGCCUUCGGGUUGUAAACUCCUUUUGCCAAGCCCUUCACAGCUUGGAGAAUAAGCCUCUACUAACUACGUGCCAGAAGUCUCGGUAAUGCGUAGGAGGCAAGCGUUAUCCGGAAUCAUUGGGCGUAAAGUGUGCGUAGGCUUUCCGUAAAGUCUUAUCUUAAAGACCAGGGCUCAACCCCGGGAUUGGAUAGGAUACUCACGGAAUAGAAGAUUAUCAGGGAAGCUGGAACAGUAUGUGUAGCAGUGAAAUGCGUUGAUAUAUACUGGAACACCGAUGGCGAAGGCAGGCUUCUGGGAUUUUCUUGACGCUGAGGCACGAAAGCUAGGGUAGCGAAACAGAUUAGAUACCUGUGUAGUCCUAGCCGUAAACGAUGUCCGCUAGCUCUGUGAUGUUGAAUCGCGGGGUGUAAGCUAACGCGUUAAGCGGACCGCCUGGGGAGUACGGCCGCAAGGCUAAAACUCAAAGGAAUUGACGGGGACCCGCACAACCGGUGGAGCGUGUGGUUCAAUUCGAGACAAAGCGAAAAACCUUACCAGGGCUUGACAUGCUAUCGUUUAUACCUUUGGAAACUUAGGUAGAUCCGCAAGGAUGAUAGUGCAGGUGCUGCAUGGCUGUCGUCAGCUCGUGCCGUGAGGUGUUCCCUUAAGUGGGGAAACGAGCGCAACCCCCGCGUAAUGUUAAAUAUUCAUUGCGGACAGCUCUGAUUUUGUCAGAGAGGAAGGAGGGGAAGACGUCAAGUCAGCACGGCCCUUAUGCCCUGGGUUACACACACCCUACAAUGGCGAAAACAACGAGUUGCAAGCGCGCGAGUGCAAGCUAAUCUCUCAAAUUUCGCCUCAAUUCAGAUUGGAGUCUGCAACCCGACUCCAUGAAGUCGGAAUCGGUAGUAAUCGCGGAUCAGCAGGCCGCGGUGAAUACGUUCCCGGGCCUUGUACACACCGCCCGUCACACUAUGGGAGCUGGCCAUGCCCGAAGUCGUUACCCUAACCGCAAGGAGGAGGAUGCCAAAGGCAGGGCUA
rnacentral:rRNA from 1 species